rnacentral:rRNA from 1 species
GAUGAACGCUAGCGGCAGGCUUAACACAUGCAAGUCGAGGGGUAUAGUUCUUCGGAAUUAGAGACCGGCGCACGGGUGCGUAACGCGUAUGCAAUCUACCUUUCACAGAGGGAUAGCCCCAGAGAAAUUUGGAUUAAUACCUCAUAGUAUAGCAGUUUCGCAUGAAACCACUAUUAAAGUCACAACGGUGAAAGAUGAGCAUGCGUCCCAUUAGCUAGUUGGUAAGGUAACGGCUUACCAAGGCAACGAUGGGUAGGGGUCCUGAGAGGGAGAUCCCCCACACUGGUACUGAGACACGGACCAGACUCCUACGGGAGGCAGCAGUGAGGAAUAUUGGACAAUGGGCGCAAGCCUGAUCCAGCCAUGCCGCGUGCAGGAUGACGGUCCUAUGGAUUGUAAACUGCUUUUUAUACAGGAAGAAACACUACUUCGUGAAGUAGCUUGACGGUACUGUAAGAAUAAGGAUCGGCUAACU